GACGAACGCUGGCGGCGUGCUUAACACAUGCAAGUCGAACGGUGAAGCGCCUUCCUUUUUGGUGGGUGUGGAUGAGUGGCGAACGGGUGAGUAACACGUGAGUAACCUGCCCCCUUCUUCUGGAUAACCGCAUGAAAGUGUGGCUAAUACGGGAUAUUCUGGGUCUGUCGCAUGAUGGGUCUGGGAAAGAUAUUGUUUCGGUGGGGGAUGGGCUCGCGGCCUAUCAGCUUGUUGGUGGGGUGAUGGCCUACCAAGGCGGUGACGGGUAGCCGGCCUGAGAGGGUGGGCGAUCACACUGGGACUGAAACACGGCCCAUACUCCUACGGGAGGCAGCAGUGGAGAAUAUUGCACGAUGGGCGCAAGCCUGAUGCAGCGACGCCGCGGGAAGGAUGGAGUCCUUCGGGUUGAAAACCGCUUUCGCCAGUGAAGCAAGCCUGCCUCGUUUGUGGGUGGAUUGACGGUAGCUGGAUAAGAAGCGCCGGCUAACUACGUG
rnacentral:rRNA from 1 species